GGCCGCUCUAAAGCAUGUCUCCCGAAAGUAGGAACCGGUUUUGGGAUAAAGACAUGCUUGAAAACAAAAGUUUAAUGCGCGUCAUAUGAAUAUGAGAAAACGCGACACGCUUUAGAGCUUCAUCUGGGAGGAGAAUAUGGCGGAUCAGCAGGA
rnacentral:ncRNA from 1 species